UACAGAGGGUGCAAGCGUUGUCCGGAUUUAUUGGGUUUAAAGGGUGCGUAGGUGGCUUGUUAAGUCCGGGGUGAAAGCCCACAGCUCAACUGUGGAACUGCCCUGGAUACUGGCGAGCUUGAGUCCAGACGAGGUUGGCGGAAUGGAAGCUGUAGCGGUGAAAUGCAUAGAUAGCUUCCAGAACCCCGAUUGCGUAGGCAGCUGACUAGGCUGGUACUGACACUGAGGCACGAAAGCGUGGGGAGCAAACCGG
rnacentral:rRNA from 1 species